rnacentral:lncRNA from 1 species
CCUGGGAACUCUCAGAUGUGGCCCAUCCAUCCCGUCAGUGUUUCCCUCUGUCCUGGGGUCACUCAAGUGUGGUCCAUCCACCCCCUCAGUGUUUCCCUCAGUCCUGAGGAUGCUCAGGUGUGGCCUAUCCAGCCCCUCAGUGUUUUCCUCGGUCCUGGGGAUGCUCAGGUGUGGUCCAUCCAUCCCCUCAGUGUUUCCCUCGGUCCUGAGGAUGCUCAGGUGUGGCCCAUCCAGCCCCUCAGUGUUUUCCUCGGUCCUGGGGAUGCUCAGGUGUGGUCCAUCCAGCCCCUCAGUGUUUCCCUCGGUCCUGAGGAUGCUCAGGUGUGGCCCAUCCCUCCCCUCAGUGUUUUCCUCGGUCCUGGGGAUGCUCAGAUGUGGCCCAUCCAUCCCCUCAGUGUUUCCCUCGGUCCUGAGGAUGCUCAGGUGUGGCCCAUCCAUCCCCUCAGUGUUUUCCUCUGUCCUGGGGAUGCCCAUCCCCUUAGUGUUUUACCUCCAACUUUCUCUAUUUUUUGUUUCCAGUCUUCCCACACAGGUUGAGAGAGGAGGGGAUCCAAUUGCCUGUGAGGAGGACACGGCUCCUGGGUGGACCCUGCAGAUUGUGAAGUUCAAGUCACAGCUCCUGGGAAGGUCUCUGUGUGUAAAGAUCGUGGGGGUGAGACAGAUUCAGGGACCACACUCUGCUCUGCUCUGUACCUCUGAGUGUCGAUCCAGCUGCCUUGUGACCAGGACACUUAGAAGAAGCAUGGACCCUGCAAGAGGAGACAGGGUAUCACCAGACUCCUGGGACCUCCGCCUCCCGGGAUGGUCUCCAUCUCCUGACCUCGUGAUCCGCCUGCCUCUGUCUCCCAAAGUGCUGGGAUUACAGGCCUGAGCCACCGCGCCCGGCCAGAUGGGCUCAAGGACAGCUUGCCUGACUGCAGCCAUAAGGAUGAAGCCUCUUCAGGGUCUUACUCUGUCACCCAGGCUAGAGUGCAGUCAGUGUGCCACUGUGGCUCAACCUCCGUCUCCUGGGCUCAAUCAAUCGUUCCA